rnacentral:rRNA from 1 species
AGUCGAGCGGUAACAGGAGUAGCUUGCUACUCGCUGACGAGCGGCGGACGGGUGAGUAACGCGUAGGAAUCUGCCUGAUAGUUGGGGAUAGCCCGGGGAAACCCGGAUUAAUACCGAAUACGCUCUACGGAGGAAAGCAGGGGAUCUUCGGACCUUGCGCUAUCAGAUGAGCCUGCGUGAGAUUAGCUAGUUGGUGAGGUAAUGGCUCACCAAGGCGACGAUCUCUAGCUGGUCUGAGAGGAUGAUCAGCCACACUGGGACUGAGACACGGCCCAGACUCCUACGGGAGGCAGCAGUGGGGAAUAUUGGACAAUGGGGGCAACCCUGAUCCAGCCAUGCCGCGUGUGUGAAGAAGGCCUUAGGGUUGUAAAGCACUUUCAGGAGUGAGGAAGGGUGUACGGUUAAUACCCGUAUAUUUUGACGUUAACUCCAGAAGAAGCACCGGCUAACUCUGUGCCAGCAGCCGCGGUAAUACAGAGGGUGCGAGCGUUAAUCGGAAUUACUGGGCGUAAAGCGCGCGUAGGCGGUUUGUUAAGUCGGAUGUGAAAUCCCAGGGCUCAACCUUGGAAUGGCAC